GUAAAGUAAAUGACCUGACUCAAGCUAGCGAACAAUAAGCCAGCGAACAAUAAGAUGAAUCAAGCUAGCGAACAAUAAGCCAGCGAACAAUAAGAAAACGCACCCACAUGAUCAUGCCUAAAAACCGAAGAUUUGCAAUAACACGACACGUACUUAUAAAUAUGAUGACAAAUAAAUAAAAAUGAUGACAAAUAAUUUCCAAUAGGAAGAUGAAAUGCAAUUCCAUUUAAACACAGAAAAGUUUAAUAAUUUAUUUGUGUAUUUAAUAACUUUUUUUUAAGGCCGGGA
rnacentral:lncRNA from 1 species